CUGACCGUGCAAAGGUAGCGUAAUCACUUGUCUUUUAAAUGAAGACCUGUAUGAAUGGUAUUACGAGGGCUUAACUGUCUCCUUUUUCAGGUCAGUGAAAUUGAUCUCCCCGUGCAGAAGCGGGGAUAAGACCAUAAGACGAGAAGACCCUAUGGAGCUUUAAGACACUAAGCCAUAUCAAGUUAAAUACCCCCUAACAAGGGGCCAAACUUAUUGAAAUCAUUGGCCGUAUGUCUUCGGUUGGGGCGACCAUGGGGAAACAAAAAACCCCCACGUGGAAUGGGAGCACAUUUACUCCUACAGUCAAGAGCCGCCACUCUAACAAACAGAAUUUCUGACCAAUAACUGAUCCGGCAACGCCGAUCAACGGACCAAGUUACCCUAGGGAUAACAGCGCAAUCCCCUUUUAGAGCCCCUAUCGACAAGGGGGUUUACGACCUCGAUGUUGGAUCAGGACAUCCUAAUGGUGCAGCCGCUAUUGAGGGUUCGUUUGUUCAACGAUUAAAGUCCUACGUGAUCUGAGUUCAGACCGGAG
rnacentral:rRNA from 1 species